GCGCAGCUGGCUUGCUUUGUAGCUAGACCAACAUGAUCAGGAUCGAAGGAGGAAUAUCUGGGUUUUGUGAACCGUAGAGAGACACGGGACAGCGGCUGGAUGUGCGCAGAGCCAGAGGACGCAAUAUUUAGCACCUUUUUCAGCAGUGGUGAAACCCACGGAAUGUACCACUCGCGAACAGCUGACCACAGGAUGCCGCACUUAGCCCAACGACAUGUGAACAUUACAAGAAAAACAUUGGGAUUUAAUGACUGCUUAUUAACAAUCAGGGUGUAGACAAUCAGAGGCCACAUCCAAGUGCCUCCACUGGACGCUUUCCAUUCCCAGAGUGUGACUCGUCUGCACGACGUCACCAAUGCGACCAUGGGAAGUAGCAGUGAAUAGGCUGCCACCAACAGCCCCCUUAAACCCUCGGAGGUUCCUCGCAGAGCCCUGCAACACCCCUGCGCAUCUCAGGAGAAGCCCACCAGUGAGACGCCAGUGGGGCCGUCGAGACAGACCUGUACUGCACACUUCCCUGGUUCAAGAUGAGAACUUGCACCAUUUGUUUUUCUCUCAGCAUCACCACCAACAGGUUUCUUUAGAUGAGUCCAGACAAUACAGCCAUACCAGCACACCGCCACGCAUGCUUCACCCUGCGGCCCACCUGCCCCAGCAGAGCCCCAUCAUGGUGGAUCUACACGAACAGAUGCACCAGGGGUCCGUUCCAAUAUCAUACACUGUUACCACGGUGACGACUCACGGCUUCCCCAUCCACGCCGGGCAGCCCCUUCCCGGGUGCAGCACUCAGCAGCUGCCAGCAUGCUCGCUCAUUCAGGCAUGCACCAUGCAGCACAUGCCAGUGUCUUAUCAAGCCUUUCCGCCCCUGAUCUCCAGCGAACAUUUUGUAUUGCACCCGACGCCCUCUGUCCCACCCACCCAGCCACCGCACCUUACUCCUCUGAGCCAGUUUGUCCCUUUACAGCCUCAGCACCCACGCAUGCCUCUGCAAAGGGUGGACAACGAAGUGGACCUAAGAGGGGACCAGCACCCACUAGGGACCUUCUCGUACCCUCCGUCUCACCACCCACCAGCGCUGCCUCCGUCUCUGCCCCUACAGUAUCUUCCUCAAGAGCCUCUGCAUCAGGAGCUUCCCUUUGGAGUGCCAUACCCCCACAUGUUGCCGCGGCGACAGCGAUACCGGCCACAGCAGCCGUUGCCCCCUCCGCCUCCUCCUCCAUCCUACUACCCAGGCUUCCUUCCCUACUUCCUGUCAAUGCUUCCUGUGCCUCCGACGGCAGUGGGCCCAGCCAUAAGCCUAGACCUGGAUGUGGAUGAUGUGGAAAUGGAGAACUAUGAGGCACUGUUGAAUCUGGCAGAGAGGCUGGGAGAGGCCAAACCUCGCGGCCUGACUAAAGCAGAUAUAGAGCAGCUUCCAUCAUACAGAUUCAGCUCAGAGAAUCAUCUUUCUGAACAAACGCUGUGUGUUGUGUGCUUUAGUGACUUUGAGUGUAGGCAGCUACUUCGGGUAUUACCUUGUAACCACGAGUUCCACGCUAAGUGUGUGGAUAAAUGGUUAAAGACCAAUCGCACUUGUCCCAUUUGCCGAGCAGAUGCCUCGGAUGUGCACCGGGAGGCGGAGUGAGUGCCCUCUGCUGGACUGUGCUUCUAUCUGUCCUGAGGCUGGGACUCUGCGCCUGAACUUGCGCCUCCAGUGUUUAGCUUACCGACCCACUCCUGUCCUUUCUCUAUGAAAAGCAAUCCAGGAUAUCUGGAGCCUGUUGUACCUCUGCUGUGCGUCAUUCUCAGAGUCUCAUGAAACCCACUGCCUAUUGCAGCCUAUAGCCACAGUUGUGGAUUGCCAGCCACUUCUGUUUCUGCCCCCUUUGUCACAGAUUCCAAAGAUUUCCCUACAAUGCAUUCUUCGCUGCUUUUGUUUACAGGGUUUCAGUUUGAUGUGGAUCUGAUUGUGGUCACAAGAACAGUGUUGGACUGGUCGGGAGAGCCUGGGGUGAGACGGCUGGACACUUUGUGCAAUGAGCAGAAAUGGAAUAGGCAUUCUUCACAGCAUGGGUAUCUGUGUUUGGGGGCACCGCCUGACCAUCAUAUCAUAGAUGCAUGUUUGCAUCUGCCAAUGCUAUUGUGAAUGUGUGACUUGCUGUGGUUUAAAGCAGAUGCAAGCGCCAGGUCGGACUGCAAAGGGACGGCCGUGUAAUUGUGGGGUACUGUUGUGCCCAGAUAAUCUGCUCUGAAAAAAAAAAGGAUUACGAGACUGCGUCUUUUUGAGGUUAUUGGACAAAACUGCACAAGUGCUACAUCCAUCCUUCACAUCGGCCAUUUUCCUCUGGCACCAUGCGCGUGUGCAUACUGUUUGUCCUGCUCACAGAGCCAAUGCAUUGUGUAACCACUGGAUACAGGGCAGCAUGCUAGAGUUUGCAUGAACUGUUGAUUCAGAUUAGCAAUAUUUUAAUCAAGCAUUGCCACCAAAAUCCUAAUCUUAAAUGUAAGAAAAAAGAAGUAACAAAGAAGCAUAUUAAAAAGAACUGCUUGCUUGUUGAGAAGGUGCUGUGAGGGAAGCUAACAUGUGGUUCACUGUGACUGUGUUUAAAGGACAGUGGACGUCAGACGCCGCACUUGUGCCGCUCUUAAACAAAGGCCUGUGCAGAAAGCAAUAUGUGCCGCCAGGGAGAGUUUUACAAACAUUCUUCUUCCGCUUUAGGAACACUGGGCUUUUCAGUUCUGUUUGUGAGCCAAAUCCAUUCUACAGAUAUAGCCUGCUGUUCAACAUUACAGAUCUGCCUUCAAAUGACCUUGACAAGCACAAACCUAUUGUUAACCCUGAAAAAUGUUGAUUUCUCUUGCGUUGGGAGUAUGCAGUUAAAAAAAAAAAAAAAAAAAAGUUUAUUUAUUGAUUUUAUCUUGUAGAGAAAAUCCAUUGAAGGAAACAGAUGGAGCACUAACUAUGUUUGUGUCUGGUAUGUUAUAUUCUGGUGACUUGGUCAGGUCAUUGUCUUAGGCCAUGGUAAUGCUUUUGUAAACGAGCAAUUGUAUGUAGUGUCAGCGUGAAUGCUUUAGAUAAACGUUUGAAGACACAAG